rnacentral:rRNA from 1 species
GACGAACGCUGGCGGCGUGCCUAACACAUGCAAGUCGAACGAGGUCCAUCCUUCGGGAGAAGACCUAGUGGCGAACGGGUGAGUAACACGUGAAGAACCUGCCCCGAAGACCGGGAUAACCCUCCGAAAGGAGAGCUAAUACCGGAUACCCCCACCGAACCGCAUGGUUUGGUGAGGAAAUGGAUUCCGCUUCGGGAGGGCUUCGCGGCCUAUCAGCUAGUUGGUGGGGUAACGGCCACCAAGGCAUCGACGGGUAGCUGGUCUGAGAGGACGAUCAGCCACACUGGGACUGAGACACGGCCCAGACUCCUACGGGAGGCAGCAGUGGGGAAUCUUGCGCAAUGGGCGAAAGCCUGACGCAGCAACGCCGCGUGGGGGAUGAAGGCUCUCGGGUUGGUAAACCCCUUUCAGCAGGGACGAAUCAAGACGGUACCUGCAGAAGAAGCCCGGCUAACUACGUGCCAGCAGCCGCGGUAAU